rnacentral:rRNA from 1 species
UGGAUAACCUACCUAUAAGACUGGGAUAACUUCGGGAAACCGGANGCUAAUACGGAUAAUAUAUUGAACCGCAUGGUUCAAUAGUGAAAGACGGUUUUGCUGUCACUUAUAGAUGGAUCCGCGCCGCAUUAGCUAGUUGGUAAGGUAACGGCUUACCAAGGCAACGAUGCGUAGCCGACCUGAGAGGGUGAUCGGCCACACUGGAACUGAGACACGGUUCAGACUCCUACGGGAGGCAGCAGCC